rfam:Epulopiscium sp. AS2M-Bin001 AS2M_MBin01_118, whole genome shotgun sequence.
GGAGAGGUGUCCGAGUGGUUUAAGGAGCUAGUCUUGAAAACUAGUGAUUCCGAAAGGGACCGUGGGUUCGAAUCCCACCUUCUCCG